rnacentral:rRNA from 1 species
AUGCAAGUCGCACGAGAAAGUGGAGCAAUCCAUGAGUAAAGUGGCGCACGGGUGAGUAACACGUGAAUGAUCUACCUCCGAGUGGGGAAUAACCUAGAGAAAUCUGGGCUAAUACCGCAUAACACUUACGAGUCAAAGCAGCAAUGCGCUUGGAGAGGAGUUCGCGGCCGAUUAGUUAGUUGGCGGGGUAAUGGCCCACCAAGACGAUGAUCGGUAUCCGGCCUGAGAGGGCGCACGGACACACUGGAACUGAAACACGGUCCAGACUCCUACGGGAGGCAGCAGUGGGGAAUUUUGCGCAAUGGGGGAAACCCUGACGCAGCAACGCCGCGUGGAGGAUGAAAUCCCUUGGGAUGUAAACUCCUUUCGAUCGGGACGAUUAUGACGGUACCGGAAGAAGAAGCCCCGGCUAACUUCGUGCCAGCAGCCGCGGUAAUACGAGGGGGGCAAGCGUUGUUCGGAAUUAUUGGGCGUAAAGGGCGCGUAGGCGGUUUGACAAGUCUGAUGUGAAAUCUCUGGGCUCAACUCAGAGUCUGCAUCGGAAACUGUCGGGCUUGA